rnacentral:rRNA from 1 species
AUUGAACGCUGGCGGCAGGCCUAACACAUGCAAGUCGAGCGAGCGGCGGACGGGUGUGUAAUGUAUGGGGCUCUGCCCGAAGGCGGGGGUUAACUACUGGAACCGGUGCCUAAUACCGCAUACUAUCGGAUGAACCCAUAUGGGAUUAGCUAGUGGGUGGGGUAAAGGCUCACCUAGGCGACGAUCUCUAGCUGGUCUGAGAGGAUGAUCAGCCACACUGGGACUGAGACACGGUCCAGACUCCUACGGGAGGCAGCAGUGGGGAAUAUUGCGCAAUGGGCGAAAGCCUGAUGCAGCAAGGCCGCGUGAGUGAAGAAGGCCUUUGGGUGGUAAAGGACUUUCAGCGGGGAAGCGUUACCCGCAGAAGAAGCACCGGCUAACUCCGUGCCAGCAGCCGCGGUAAUAC